rnacentral:lncRNA from 1 species
UUUUUUAAUUUAUUUUUUAUUUUUGUUUCCCCAAACAUACUUUAUCUACUGUAAAGCAUGGGGACCCAGUUACACAUACAUAUAUACAUAAUUUUAUCUCCCAUUGUUGUGCUGUGUUGUAAGUAUCUAGACAUAGUUCUCAGUGCUACACAGCAGGAUCUCAUUGUUAUUCCAUUGAUUUGACAUUUUCAUACAUUAUUUAUCAUUAAUCUAGUAACUAUAUUUCCCCAUAAGCCUUUACAAUAUAAUCAAUCAUGUUCUUUAUGCUGUAUAUUAAAUUGCCAAGGUUUCUUUAUUUUAUAACUGGGUUUUUUCUCCUCUUCAUACACAUCACCUAUUUCAUCCCUCUCCCCCAGACACUGCCUCCUCUGGCAACCACCAGUUUCUUCUCUCUAUUUAUGAGUCUGUUUUCCUUUUCUUGAUUUUUUGUUUUGAUUUUUAGAUUCCAGAUACAAGUGAGAAACCACAAUAUUUAUUGUUGUAUCUCUGCCUCAUUUCACAGAGCAUAAUACCCUCUAGAUCCAACCAUGUUGUUGGAACAUGCUGUGAACUGUGAGAUGCACUUGAAUAGCUCCCUUAUAUCCAUGUUGUUGCCAAUGAAGGUAGUAAACAUUUUUAGCCCCCAGGAUGGGGUGGCACAGUUGUUUUCACUGUUGGGGAUUCAUUUUCAUGGUUUUGUGUGAGGAUAUCCAGUUUCCCAGCAGCAUAUAUUGAGGAGACUAAACCUUCUCUACUGUGUGUUUUUGGCUCCCUUGUCAAAGAUCAGUUGAGCAUAUAUGUGUGGGUUUAUUUAUGGGCUACAUAUUCUGUUCCAUUUUUAUAUGUGUAUUUUAAUGUCAUUUACUGUGUUGAUUUCUAAAGGUUUGAAGUAUAGUUGGAAAAGGAAGUGUGAUGCCUACAGUUUUGUACAUUUUGCUUAAGAUGACUUUCAUUUUGUGUUUCUUUUCAGUUUCACAUGGAUGAAAUAAAUUAUAGUGAUGGAUGUAUGCUCCAACCUAUUUCAGGGUUAGUGUUGUGGGAACUCAAGGGCUGGUCCUACUCUGUUUGGUCCUUUCUGCAGUGCAUAGAAUGGCAGAUUCCAUUGUAGUUUCUUUAAAGUUCAAGGGGGUUCAUGGCCUCUCCUUCUCUUGAGCAGGCAGAGGGAAGAGCAAUGUGUCACUGACAUUAGAGACAUCUUCUGGGACUCCUGUAGUUCAGCCCCUUUGGUCUCAGCACUGGAUCCACUUCAAGAGGAGGGCAAGAAUUUGGGCAAUUACCUCAAUUUUCUUCUUGUCGAACAAGAAGUUUGGGGGUAUGUUCCCUGGGGUCUCAGUCUGUUGGUAAAUGUGGAUCAUUCUCGUUGUUCUCAUUCUUGUAAACACGUGUGGAAGUGCUAAUUGUCCUCAGACCAUGGAGGCAUAAGAGAUAAGUCCUCAGGUAGUAGCCUGGACCGGGAUGGAUUGGACCAUCACUUGGACUAGAUGUGUAUGAUGAUGUGAGGACUAGGAAGAAGAGAUAGAGAAAAUAUAUGUUUACAUUGCUUGUAUAGCCAUGUGUUUUAAGUGUCUGAUUCACACACUGACCUACAUUGUGCCACCAGAGUCACAUGGCUGUAACAUUGAAAUUACUCAAAAUGACAUAAAAUUAAAAUUUGGGUUUCUCAGUUGCACUAGCUAUAUUUCAAGGCUCCAGUAGUCACAGGAGACUGGUGCUGCUGUAUUGGGAAACACAGCUAUAUAGUAUUUCCAUAUUUGUGGAAAGUCCAAUUGUACAGUGCUAAUAAUAGACCAUGAAAGCCAGAAAUCUGCAAUACAUGUAUGUGUUUUGGGUUGCACAUGUUGCUUCUUUUUAUGUAUUUGUGCAUUGGGUUUGAACACGUGAUUCUUAGAGUGUUUAGUUGAGUUUUUGUGUGCAUGAGUGUGUAUGCUUUGUGAGUUUUGUGGGUGACCGGAUGUGGUUUUUACAUGUUUUUUUUAAACAGCUUGUGAAAUAUACCUGAUAUGCAAAAAACUGCACAUAUUUAAUGUAUGUAAUUUGAAGAGUUUGUACAUGAGCACACACUAUUGUAGCUACCACCACAAUCAAGGUCAUCAACAUAUCUGUCUCCUGUCAAAAUGUCUUGUGUCCCUUUUAUGUCAUAAUAAAUCUUAACAUGAGAUCUACUCUUUUAAUGAAUUUUUAGGUGCACAGAAUAGUGUUUUUGACUCUAGGCAUUAUGCUCUAUAGUAGGUCUCUAGAACUAAUUCAUCUUACAUAACUGAAAUUUUAUUUCAAUUAAAUAACAACACUACCAUUACCCUUCCCCAUAGCCCUUGGUUACUGCCAUUUAUUCUCUGCUUAUGUGAGUUUCUCUAUGGGAAAUUGUGCUGUAUUAACCUUUGUAGGACGCACUUAUUUCACUUAUCAUAAUGUUCUCCUGGUUCAUCCACAUUGUCAGAAAUAGCAGGAUUUCCACUUUUUAAGGCAAAAUAAUAUUCCAUUUUUUGUAUAUUCCACACACAUAUCCAUUCAUCUUGGCACCAUUUGGCUUCCCCACCAACAGUAUAGAAGGGUUCUUGUUUGCAUGGUUUUUAAGUGGUGUAAGACAAAAGAUUUCAUUUUAAAGUUGUAUGUAAGUUGGUAUGUAUCCAUACUAACCUCCACACUUCUGACUAGGAUGAGUAUAGUUUGGAGAGGGAUAAACUACACCACCUGGGGUUUUGUUUUUUUUGUUGCUAUGUGUCAUACUGAGUGUCUGUGUGUAUAACACACUGACAAUCUCCUACUCAUCUCCUUAGAUGGCUGUAGAGCAGAGAGGGCCUCUUGGGUGCCUGGGAAAUAUGUGUAUGCAUUUGACCUGGUAAGACAGCCUCACAGCCUGAAUCUUCCUUCGUCUCAGCUCUAGACAUAAAAAGACAACAAGCAAAGUUCUCUUUAUUCUAAGUUGGUGUCACUUUGUCCAGAUGCUUUGAAGGCUACUGAACUUCUUGCAGUGUUCUUCAUUGAUGUUUAAUGAUUUCCACAUUUCCACUCUGGGGAACAAGAUGGGGUGAAUUUAGGAACCUUGUAUAGUUAAUCAGAUGACAGUGAAUUCUGAUAUAUGUCCUUGGUCCUACAGCAUCUUUACUAUCUUGGCUCUCUGGUCACCUCAUCAGGCAAAUUCUUAUGUACCUCUUAUGUACUUUGCCUAUAUGUUUAGAACUGAGCCAUUUGAAGGCCCUUGUGAUGGAAGGGGAGAGAGAGACAAUGGCAGAUAUGAAGGGAGCUCUUCAUUGGCACAUUUAUUAAAAAUGCAAUGAGUCAAGUGAUGUGGACCUACUACUCUUCAGGGGCUUUGGUCUGCACCUGUACUGUCUCCUGGAAGUGAGAACAAGACCUCAGAAGUAAGCACAUAUUUUCAGAAAGCUACUUGAUCGUUUUUGAUGGAGUCCUCAUAUCUUUAUCAUCUUUAGUUACUGUUGUCUGAGUACUCAUCCUGCCCAAAUAAUGAGCUAUUUAUUUAUUUUUGUUUUACUCUUUUUUAGAUUGCUGUUUUUAGUCAAUGAUUUAUUGACUCAAAAUAUAUUUUCUGAAUUAAUAUUUUGUUUUUAUAAAAGAUAUAUAUAUAUAUUAUAAUUCAAUAUUUCAAUAUCUGUGUAUGGUUUCAUGGCACCAAAGUAGUUUACAUUGAAGUGCAACCAUCACCAUGUCCUACUUCUAGAAUUUUUUAUCUUCUCAAAAGGAACCUCUGUAACCACUGAACAAUAACUCAUCAUUUUAUCCCCACCCUAGCCCUUGACAAUCACCAUUCCAUUUUUUUGUGUCUAUUAAUUUGACUAUUCUAGGAAUAUCAUAUAAGUGGAAUCUUACAGUAUUUAUAAUUUUGUGACUGCAUGAUUUCACUUAGCAUAAGGUCUUCAAGGUUCAUUCAUUUUGUGGCUGUGUCAUUAUUUCAUUCCUUUUUACAGCUGUACAAUAUUAUACUUUAUGUACAAGACCAGAUUUUAUUUAUCUAUUCACUUGUUAAAGGACUUUUUUUUUUACCAUAUUUUGGUUAUUGUGAGUAAUGCUGUUUUGAACAAGGCUGUAUAAAUAACACUUUUG